GGGCCCGCACAAGCGGUGGAGCAUGUGGUUUAAUUCGAUGCAACGCGAAGAACCUUACCAGGUCUUGACAUCCUCGGAAUUUGGCAGAGAUGCCUUAGUGCCUUCGGGAGCCGAGUGACAGGUGCUGCAUGGCCGUCGUCAGCUCGUGUCGUGAGAUGUUGGGUUAAGUCCCGUAACGAGCGCAACCCUUGUCCUUAGUUGCCAGCACGUAAUGGUGGGAACUCUAGGGAGACUGCCGGUGACAAACCGGAGGAAGGUGGGGACGACGUCAGGUCAUCAUGGCCCUUACGACCUGGGCUACACACGUGCUACAAUGGCUGGUACAGAGGGUUGCGAAGUCGCGAGGCGAAGCUAAUCCCUUAAAACGCGUCGUAGUCCGGAUCGGAGUCUGCAACUCGGGUACAUGAAGUUGGAAUCGCUAGUAAUCG
rnacentral:rRNA from 1 species